rnacentral:lncRNA from 1 species
CGCGGAGCUGAGCAAGUGGCAGUUUAGGGAGCGUUAACUGCGCAUGAACAAAUUGCUGCUUGCCUCAAGGUUAAGGCUCCGGUGGUGUAAUAAAGGAUCUGAGAAUUUAAUUCCUAGCUGAAUUGGUUCGAACGCGUUUCUGGGACUUUUACCCUCUGUUUUGUCUUCUAACGCUGGGUUACCUUGCCAAUCAACUACCAAUGGAACAAUGGCUAACAUUGGAGUUUGUGCAUAAGUAUGUGUCAGAACUAUGCAUGGAUUAAGGAAGAAAGGAGACAAUAGGAGAAUGGAACAAAGGUUGUCCUGGGAAAUAAUAAUAAAUUAUUUUCCAAAAGAAGAGUGAAAUAUGGAACACAUGAGA